UUGAGAGCGGCGGACGGGUGAGUAAUGCCUAGGAAUCUGCCUGGUAGUGGGGGAUAACGUUCGGAAACGGACGCUAAUACCGCAUACGUCCUACGGGAGAAAGCAGGGGACCUUCGGGCCUUGCGCUAUCAGAUGAGCCUAGGUCGGAUUAGCUAGUUGGUGAGGUAAUGGCUCACCAAGGCGACGAUCCGUAACUGGUCUGAGAGGAUGAUCAGUCACACUGGAACUGAGACACGGUCCAGACUCCUACGGGAGGCAGCAGUAGGGAAUCUUCCGCAAUGGACGAAAGUCUGACGGAGCAACGCCGCGUGAGUGACGAAGGUUUUCGGAUCGUAAAACUCUGUUGUGAGGGAAGAACACGUACCAGCUAACUACUGGUACCUUGACGGUACCUCACCAGAAAGCCACGGCUAACUACGUGCCAGCAGCCGCGGUAAUACGUAGGUGGCAAGCGUUGUCCGGAAUUAUUGGGCGUAAAGCGCGCGCAGGCGGUCCUUUAAGUCUGAUGUGAAAGCCCACGGCUCAACCGUGGA
rnacentral:rRNA from 1 species